rnacentral:rRNA from 1 species
GACAGAGGUUGCAAGCGUUGUUCGGAAUUACUGGGCAUAAAGCGCACGUAGGCGGUCCGCUAAGUCAUGUGUGAAAUCCCCCGGCUCAACCGGGGAAUGGCGCCUGAUACUGGCGGACUCGAGAUCGGUAGGGGUGAGUGGAACUCCAGGUGUAGCGGUGAAAUGCGUAGAUAUCUGGAGGAACACCGGUGGCGAAGGCGCCCACCUGGCCUGCUACUGACGCUGAAGCUCGAAAGCUAGGGGAGCAAACGGG